rnacentral:tRNA from 1 species
GCCAGCGUGGCAUAGUGGUUUGAGUGCUGGACUAUGACUCUUGUUGACCAGGGUUCAAUUCCCAGCUUGGCC